CCUCCUCCCGUCGCCAGGACGAUCGUCGACUUGAAUCUUAACACGUUCGUCGGGAUCGCCGCAUCAUCGGCCGCGUGCGCGAAACUGAGAAAGGGAAGGAGACAGAGAGGAGCAGCAGCCACAACGAAAGUCACCGCCGGUCGACAAGCAGUGCUCGCUGUCACUGCGAAUCGUUCGUACAUCCUCCUCUGUUCCUUCCUCCUCCUCCUCCUCCUCCUCCUCCUUUUCCUAUUCCUCCUCCCCUUCCUUCGUUCACGACUUCUCCGAUAUUCCUGCCUCUUCGUCACCUUCUUUUUCUCUUCUUCCAUCUCCACCUCCUUCUCCUCCCCCUCUUCCUCCUUCUUCGUCAUCAUCACCUCCUCCGUCAAAGGAGGAUUCCGCUAUUCUGAGCCAUGGCGUGCUGCCUGUCAGAAGAGGCGAAGGAACAGAAACGCAUCAACCAGGAAAUCGAACGACAACUUCGAAGGGACAAACGGGAUGCUAGGCGGGAACUCAAGCUGCUCCUACUCGGAACUGGCGAGUCUGGCAAGUCCACCUUCAUUAAGCAGAUGAGGAUUAUCCACGGCUCCGGCUAUUCGGACGAGGACAAGAGAGGAUUUAUCAAACUUGUGUACCAAAACAUUUUUAUGGCGAUGCAGUCCAUGAUCCGGGCGAUGGACCUCCUGAAAAUCCAGUACGGCGAUUCCUCGAAUAUAGAAAAAGCGGAACUGGUGCGGAGUGUCGACUUCGAAACAGUGACGACGUUCGAGAGCCCGUACGUGGAGGCGAUCAAGGAUCUGUGGGCGGACGCGGGUAUACAGGAGUGCUACGACCGUAGACGGGAAUACCAGCUCACGGACUCCGCCAAGUAUUAUCUUAGUGACCUAGAGCGUAUCGAAAAGCCUGAUUUCCUUCCGACCGAGCAAGACAUCCUCCGGGCACGAGCUCCCACCACCGGAAUUAUAGAAUAUCCGUUUGAUCUGGAUUCCAUCAUAUUUAGGAUGGUAGAUGUCGGAGGGCAGAGGUCGGAAAGAAGAAAGUGGAUCCAUUGUUUCGAGAACGUUACUUCAAUUAUAUUUUUAGUAGCUCUAAGUGAAUAUGAUCAAAUUCUAUUUGAAUCGGAGAACGAGAAUCGAAUGGAAGAAAGUAAAGCACUGUUCAAAACGAUUAUAACAUAUCCCUGGUUUCAACACUCCUCUGUUAUCCUGUUUCUCAACAAGAAAGAUCUGCUAGAAGAAAAGAUUAUGUACUCUCAUCUCGUCGACUACUUUCCAGAAUAUGAUGGUCGGCAGAGAGACGCUAUACAAGCUAGGGAAUUUAUAUUGAGAAUGUUCGUCGAUUUGAAUCCGGACAGUGAGAAGAUUAUUUAUUCCCACUUUACGUGUGCCACAGAGCUUGUAUGUUGCCUGCCUCCCAUAUAAUCAGAUACGGAAAACAUCAAGCUUGUAUUCUGCGCUGUUAAGGAUACAAUCAUGCAAUCUGCGCUUAAGGAGUUCAAUCUUGCUUAACGCGACAAUAUAAAUACUAUCAAGUAUACGCAGAUUCUUGACGAUAUUAUUUAAUAUUUGGACGCCGAAAAUGACGUAGACUUGUACAAUAGAUUUACAACAAAGCUACCUCAGUAUAAUUUCAACAGGUACUAAAGGAGUACUAAAUAGUACAGUGAUACUUGACAAAUGUUAUGGUAAAAAACGAAUCAUUUGUUAAAUAUUAUAUGUUGCUUUCUAAAAUUUAAUCCACAGCUUAGGUCUGUGUCAUUCUCGGCGGUUGGUUGUCGACUACGGAUACAACAAAUUUACUUCCGAAAAUUUCGAAAACAACUGCCAGUUUUAUCGUUGACAACAUAUUACAACAUAUACGUUAAGUAAAAAUAUAUUAUCAAAGCCUUGUAUAAUCCCUAAAUAAAAGGAAUAUAGUAAUUGAUGUUCGCUCUAAUAAUUACUAAAAUAAAUUCCAUUUCUUGCAACAUUGCGUUACUAAUAUGCCUUUGUAACAAGCAAAGGCUCCUUGCGAUAUUUUUAUUAAGUCUAUCAUUACUACAGAGUCUGGCAAGAAUAGAAUAUUCCAUUACUUUUGAUUAAAGUUCCAUUCGCCUACAAACGUCGCUUAAUAUGAAAAAAAUACAAUAAUUUUGAUUAUUGUAAAAUAUUCAUAUAAAUACUUAGUAAAAUAUUUUGCGCUUUAAUAUGCAUUAUUCUAACUUUUUAAAUGUAUAUUAACAGAACUGCUGCAACUUCUUCAAUUUUUUGCAUUACUAAUCUUUCAUUUUUUUGCAUUACUAAUAUAUUUAAGCUUUUUUAAAACAAGUACUAAAAAGGAAAUUACAUUUAUGGGUUUCUCUUUUGUAUUGCUACAAAAAGUAUCUUGAAGGAAAUUGCAUGCUGCAUGUGUGUCAUGACUGUCCAGGGUUUGAAGCUUCUUGCUUAGGAUACGGAGAACAUCAGAUUCGUGUUCGCAGCGGUAAAGGACACUAUUCUACAGUCCAAUCUGAAGGAGUACAAUCUGGUUUAGGCGGCAAAAUGCGCUGCAAAUCCGAGUGGACUCGACCAGUUUCUCUCGCACCCUGACCAAUGUAUCAGUGCGAGAUUACUACUUCAUUGACUCGCGAGCAUGAUCCAUGAAAACGACGUGAAGAAAACGACAAAGAGACGCGAGACGGAAACGAGACAGAAACUCGUGGUGUCGUCGUAUACGCAUGCAUACGCACGCAUAUAUCGAUAUGUACGUCGCGCCGCAUUGAGCUUCGUCGCAUCGAGUGUUGUACCAGCACGAUUAACUAGACGCGUAAUACACACGUAAUUGUGAAGGAAGUAAAAGCGUGGAGCGAGUAAGAAGGCGAACAAGGACUUAAAAGCGUCACAAGCGUUACUCUUCACUGUUGAUACCAACUCGCGCGAGUCAAUUCGGUUCUCUCGUACAUCGGGUCCCGUUUUGGGAUUUGUUACCUUUCUUUUGUAGAUUAGUUCUUAGUCGAUAUCGCGGGCGAAUGCGUCCCACUCCCGAACCGAGGAUGCGUCAACACCCAAGGGUCUCGGAUAUCGUUGUCUGAUAUAUAUAUAUAUAUAUAUAUAUAUAUAUAUAUAUAUAUAUAUAUAUAUAUAUAUGCAUGUGUUUGCGUGCGUAUGUGUGCGUGUGCGUGUGUGUUUGUGUGUGUACGUGCGCGUAUGUGUGUGUUUGCGUGUGAGAACGAUGGGGCGAACCAAAUGUUUCACGUACGUGAGCGUGACACACGGCGCGGCUGUGCCGCGUGGAUUUUUAAUGGCGCGUCCGUCUGUGUUCGUCUCGAGUCCAAGAGAUCUCAGCGGAGGAGAAGAAACUGAAGAGACGAAACGGCGAGGCAAGCGAACGAAAAAAAUAAAAUAAAAUAAAAUAAAAUAAAAUAAACCGGGCUUUUUAAUCGCGAAUUAGAUUCGAUGACACAAGUGAGAACAAUUCUAGUGCCAUUUACUAGUGUGGUGUUGUUUUUCUUUUCUUCUUUCCUUUCUAUUUUCUUUUUCUACUUUUUCUUUUUUCUCAAAUAUAUACUGAAUUAUGAGGAAUAUCCUUCGUUUAGAGAGUCACGCGAAAGCCAAAGUAUUUUUGUUUUUUUCCUUUUUAUCUGUGCCACAAACGACUCAAAGUUUUUCUGCAUGUGACUCGAAUCCAUUAAAAAUUCAUCAUAUAAAUAUUGUUAUAUAUAUAUAUAAUAUAUAAAAAGAAUGAGAAAUGAAUUAGAGCGCGAGAGAGGGAGAGAGAGAGAGAGAGAGAAAGAGCGAAAAAUAUACCAGCGGUAGUGGCGGAGAGAGAAAGAGGAGAAAGAAAGAAAGUAAAAACGAGUGUGCGAGAAAGAAAGUGAGAGAAUGUGUGUAUGCAGAUUUGAGGGAAACUUCGCGUUUGCGAAAGCGAAAGAUACUGCAGAGGGAAUUGCGUCUGUUCGAUGUGACUUAGAUAAUUAAGGCGCGCGGGAGGAGCCCGCAGAUAUCUCUCUCUGCCGUCUCCUCUCUUUGCCGGCUAUGCGUGCCGGAUUGCGCGAGGAGAACGUUCCUUGAGCCGCGAGCGAAUCCCUCCGGAAUAAGGAGUCCUGAUUUGCAAGAACGAAUUCCUUAUAGACGAAGGGUUUCGUCUUGCAGAGAUGAAUUCCUAAGGAAUAUGAGAUCCCUGUAAUAUUCUCGGGAACGAGGAAAUCUCGCCUCGAUUUGCAAAGACGAUUUCUUUAAGAACGGAGAAAUUUCUUAUAAAUGAGCAUUAAGCGCCCCGCUUUUUCGAGGGUGAAUCUCUUGAGCGUGACGAGGAAGGAGGAGUUCGUCGCGGUUCUCCCUUCGUAUGGUCCUCGUCCUCCCACGCAAUGGCACAGCUACCGCGCGCAGCCAAGAUCAUGGGUCCCCUCUCCCUUGGAAGAGGGGGGCUUCAUGCCUCUCGCUCGCCCCGUAUCCACAUUAUACAGUGUACGUACGUAUGAACUGCUCACUGCCUGCGCUCGGUCAUAUGCUGGCUAGCGCGCUGCCCGUUGCUCGUACUCUCCGACGGUUCGAUAUCUUCUCGAAGUCGCGAUUUUCGCCACCUUCCCUCCUUACCCGAUGACACGGGUAAAAGCAGACGAAUGAGAAACGAAAAAGGAAGUAAUUGAAAUGAAUUAACGAUGAAUUUGAGAAAUUGGAAGAAAAGCUCUACAAAUUAGUAUAAAAUAAAAUGUAAAAUAAAGAAGGCAACAUUCGAUUGAGGAAAGCGCGGAAAGAACAGAGCAGAAGCAAGAUUAACCAUUAAGGUUUUUUUCUCUAUUAGAAGAUACGAUUAAAGGAACGGAAUAGCUAAAAAUGCAAGAAAAAAACAAAAUUUUACAAUUACGCGUGCACGCUGUCAAUGAAGGAGAAAGAUUCCUCUUCUCUCUCGAUUUUAAAAUCAAGUUCGUCUCAGCAUCGCGAAAAAAAGCUACGACAACGCGCGGAAGCCACAAGGAUAAUGACAAGCCGGACCUUGCCAGUUUUUUCGAGGGUGGAAACGCGAAGGAUUUUUUAAGAUGAACUCGGUUCGCGAGUAACGCGAACUAGAGUAAGGUAUUACGAGACGAUUUGUCCCAAGUCGAGAACGGUUUCACUAGGUGCAAUCGCGGAGAGAUAGCGAUAACGGGAGUUAUGCGCGAACUCGGAGAGUACGUCGCGCUGAUGGAGACGAUCCUCUCUUAAACGGUCGGCCGAGGUCUGGGAUUUCCCGUUCGGACACCGAUACGUGCAACGGCUUGAACAUCACCGGACCCCGCCGGCGUCGCGCACGCACAUACACCGGGCAGUAUGUGUCAUAUACCUUAGUUGUGUCACACCCACCUUGGUUGAAACACUGAGUUUAUAUGAAAAAAAGUAUAUAUAUAUAAAUAAAUAAUAUAUAUAUAUAUAAAUACAUUGGAUAAUAUAUUAUAUAUUAAGCGGAUACCAACAAAUAAUAUUGAAUAAUACCACUAAUAAUUAUAAUAAUGAUUAUAAUAAUUAUAAUGAUAAAAUAAUAAUAGUAAUAAUAAUUAAUAAUAGUAAUACUGCUUGAUUUUCAUUGAGAACGCGUGAUUAAACGGAUGAUGGCAGAGAGGGAAGGAGAGAUAACGCGUGUGCAGGACACGAAGUGCAAAACGAUGCUAGUGAGAAAUUCGAAUGAACAAAUGAGAAAAAAAGAAUGUAUGCAUGUGUAUAUGCGUAAGUGCAUUAUUGUGGGUGCGUCUCUGUGCAUAUGUAUGCGUACUUGUGCAAUUGCGUGAGCGUAUGCUCGCGUGUAAGAAAAAAAAAGGAGAGAGGGGUUGGCGAGAAUAGAGAGAGGAAGCAAGAUGGAAAGAAGGCGAGGGAGUGACUUUGCUUGUGCGUGCAUGAGAAACUUUAUCGAGAAAUAAACAAAUGGAGAUCGGUUGCAACUACUAGGCUUUGUACAACCCUAAUCGAGAAACCGACGAGUAAACGACGUGUAAGAGUCUCCAAGGGGCUGUUAGGUUCAUUUGUAAAUCAUCUCUCCUUCGUCAGGAGGCGUACACCACUCUUCUGGGAGCGUAAAAUAUGUUGGGUAUUCUUUCUCUGUGUAUAAAAUUGUAAACACCUAUCAUGCCCAAAAUCAAUGUUUCUAACUUAUUUAUAAUAAAUAAUAUACAUUAAUGAUAAAAAUAAACACAGUUUGUGACAGUA